GACGAACGCUGGCGGCGUGCUUAACACAUGCAAGUCGAACGGAAAGGCCCUGCUUGCAGGGUCCUCGAGUGGCGAACGGGUGAGUAACACGUGGGUGAUCUGCCCUGCACUUCGGGAUAAGCCUGGGAAACUGGGUCUAAUACCGGAUAGGAGCCAUUUUUAGUGUGAUGGUUGGAAAGUUUUUUCGGUGUAGGAUGAGCUCGCGGCCUAUCAGCUUGUUGGUGGGGUAAUGGCCUACCAAGGCGGCGACGGGUAGCCGGCCUGAGAGGGUGGACGGCCACAUUGGGACUGAGAUACGGCCCAGACUCCUACGGGAGGCAGCAGUGGGGAAUAUUGCACAAUGGGCGCAAGCCUGAUGCAGCGACGCCGCGUGGGGGAUGACGGCCUUCGGGUUGUAAACGCCGUUCGCUAGGGACGAAGCUUUUUGUGACGGUACCUAGAUAAGAAGCACCGGCUAACUACGUG
rnacentral:rRNA from 1 species